GGUGCUUUGUUAUUUUAGUUGGAGUAUUUGAGGUUAGGUAGAAUUUUAUUAGAAUUAUUACUAAUUUUAUUUAAUUAAAAUAAUAGAAAUAAUAAGAAUAUGAGUUUAAGGGAGGAAAUUAGAGUUUUAAUUAACAUUAAGGUGGAAGGGUGGAAUCAUUGAGAAUUUAGGAGUUUUAUAAUUAAUAAAAUUAGUAGGGUUGUAUUUAAAUAAGAUGGGAAAAUCAGAGUUAGGAGCCGUUUGGUAAGAAA
rnacentral:lncRNA from 1 species